CGCAUAAGACCACAGCACCGCAUGGUGCAGGGGUAAAACUCCGGUGGUACAGGAUGGACCCGCGUCUGAUUAGCUGGUUGGUGAGGUAACGGCUCACCAAGGCGACGAUCAGUAGCCGGCUUGAGAGAGUGAACGGCCACAUUGGGACUGAGACACGGCCCAAACUCCUACGGGAGGCAGCAGUGGGGAAUAUUGCACAAUGGGGGAAACCCUGAUGCAGCGACGCCACGUGAGUGAAGAAGUAUCUCGGUAUGUAAAGCUCUAUCAGCAGGGAAGAAAAUGACGGUACCUGACUAAGAAGCCCCGGCUAACUACGUGCCAGCAGCCGCGGUAAUACGUAGGGGGCAAGCGUUAUCCGGAAUUACUGGGUGUAAAGGGUGCGUAGGUGGUAUGGCAAGUCAGAAGUGAAAACCCAGGGCUUAACUCUGGGACUGCUUUUGAAACUGUCAGACUGGAGUGCAGGAGAGGUAAGCGGAAUUCCUAGUGUAGCGGUGAAAUGCGUAGAUAUUAGGAGGAACAUCAGUGGCGAAGGCGGCUUACUGGAC
rnacentral:rRNA from 1 species